rnacentral:lncRNA from 1 species
CCAAUGAAUAACACUGGAAUGAAUUUUUUGGGGAUUUGUGGAAAUGAUUUUCGAAUACUUAUCUGCACAUGUAUUAUUGUCUCCAAUGAAAGAAAAUUUUGCAGCACAUAAAUUGCACUGAAGACCUCUUUUAUCUGGUAAAAACCCUUUCUUUGAAGGAUACAAUAAAACUCCCUUGUCUCCUUUAUAACCAAUAGUAACA